GUCCACGCCGUAAACGAUGAGUGCUAGGUGUUCGGGGUAUCGACCCCCGGGUGCCGCCGCUAACGCAGUAAGCACUCCGCCUGGGGAGUACGGCCGCAAGGUUGAAACUCAAAGGAAUUGACGGGGCCCGCACAAGCGGAGGAGCAUGUGGUUUAAUUCGAUGAUACGCGAGGAACCUUACCCGGGCUUGAAAGUUAGUGAAUCAUUUAGAGAUAGAUGAGUCCGCAAGGACACGAAACUAGGUGCUGCAUGGCUGUCGU
rnacentral:rRNA from 1 species